UACAGAGGGUGCAAGCGUUAAUCGGAAUAACUGGGCGUAAAGGGUGCGUAGGCGGAACGCUAAGUCAGAUGUGAAAGCCCCGAGCUCAACUUGGGAAUUGCAUUUGAAACUGGCGAUCUAGAGCAGAGAAGAGGAGAGUAGAAUUUCAGGUGUAGCGGUGAAAUGCGUAGAUAUCUGAAGGAAUACCAGUGGCGAAGGCGGCUCUCUGGUCUCUUGCUGACGCUGAGGCACGACAGCGUGGGUAGCGAAC
rnacentral:rRNA from 1 species